rnacentral:lncRNA from 1 species
UUAAAAGAAAUGAGGUGCUUGAUGAUUGGCUUGGUAGUGCAUGCAUUGUUGCGAGUUGUUGGCUGGAAUGACCCUACGGUUUAGUAACAUAAAAGAACCUAAGAGUGUCAAAAGACUAUGGAUGGGAAUGAAAAGAAAUGAGGUGCUUGAUGAUUGGCUUGGUAGUGCAUGCAUUGUUGCGAGCUUAUGGCUGGAAUGACCCUACGGUUUAGUAACAUAAAAGAACCUAAGAGUGUCAAAAGACUAUGGAUGGGAAUGAAAAGAAAUGAGGUGCUUGAUGAUUGGCUUGGUAGUGCAUGCAUUGUUGCGAGCUGUUGGCUGGGAUGAACCUACGGGUAGUAACAUAAAAGAACUUAAGAGGGCCAAAAGACUAUGGAGGAGAGCGAAAAGAAUAGAGAUCCUUGAUGAUUGGCUUGGUAGUGCAUGCAUUGUUGCGAGCUGUUGGCUGGGAUGAACCUAAGACAAAGAAAAAUAGGCAAAAGACUGCUGGAUGGUAAAAAUGACCAGCAAGGAAAAGAAGCUUUAUGAGAAGACA